rnacentral:lncRNA from 1 species
AGGAAAUGAAUGUGUAGUCUAUAGCUGUUGGAUGAAAUGUUCUGUAAAUAUCUAUGAGGUCCAUUUGGUCUAUAGUGCAGAACAAGUCCAGUGUUUCUUUGUUGAUUUUCUAUCUAGAAGAUCUGUCCAAUGCUGCGAGUAGGGUGUUGAAGUCUCCAGCUAUUAUUGUAUUGGGGCCUACCUCUCCCUUUAGCUCAAAUAUUUGCUUUUUAUGUCUGGGUGUUCCAGUGCCGGGUGCAUAUAUAUUUGUAAUUAUUAUGUCCUCUUGCUGAAUUGACUGCUUUAUCAUUAUAUAGUGACCUUCUUGCUUUCUUCUUAUAGUUUUUAUCUCAAAAUCUAUUUUGUCUGAUAUAAAUAUAGCUACUUUUGAUUUUCAUUGGUUUCCAUUGGCAUAGAAUAUAUUUUUCCAUCCCUUUAUUUU